rnacentral:sRNA from 1 species
UGCCACCUAACAUAUUGUGUUGCUCUCGCUUAGAUAGUUAACAAUCACACAACCAACAUUAUCCUCGUACAAUGUUUACUACAAGAAUCUGAAAGAUGAUUGUGAGUGUCUCUGAUCUUUACUGAAUUCUAAGAAUAUUGAAGAAGGCAAACGUCUUUUUCCUUCCAUUAUAUCCUAUAUUCAUCUAUCAACAGACUACCACGCCUUGUCAUGAGAUGUAGAAAGUAGGGAAACAAAGCAAUAUCAAAGAAAAUAUUGUUGUCUUCCUUACCAUUGGAAAAAAAACAAAAAAAAAAGCCUCUCUUUACCUGUAAAAUAGUUUGUUUUCGAUACCUGGAAUAUUCAGUCAGAAAUAUUACAUCUCCGGACGGCGGCUUAAGUUCAUUAAGAGAGAUAAACAUACAACUUGGAAUCCAAGGAGGUCCCCCUAUUUGAACAAAAAAAGGCUCAUCAGAUAGAGUCCAUCCAACUCUCAAGUCAGUUGUUAAGACCCUACACGCUACAAAUCCCUCCAUUAAGUAGAAAGGGAAAAAGAGAAAAGGCAUGUGCGAGGACGUCACGGAAGUAUACGAAUUCUGUCGCCACCUCGGUAAAUCCUAUGUACGCCCUUGUUCAAAAGGUUCGCAGUGCGAUGAACUCGUCUCCGUCGACCUGAUCAUCAUGUCCUUUUGCCCAUGCUGUUUCCAGAUGGGGGUUUUGGUUGGGGCUGGGCAAUAAAGCUGUGAUGGAAGGGCGGUGGUGGAGAUGGAGAUCUGUUAGGGUCAAAGGUAGGAUUGUGUAGCAGCGGGUGGCGCACACGUUGAUUUUAAAGGCCAUGGUGAAAAUCCGCUGGCGCCGUUUGCGGGUUGUGGGGAUCACACUAUAACUGCGUAUGGCCUACGUCUGGCAAAGAAGUGUAUCAGAUCUCAUUUUUUAAACGAAGGCAACAUGGGUACAUUAGAUCAGGAAUAUCAGGAGCGCAUACUUAUGAUUUGACGGAAUUUCAGAAAUUAAUUGUAUCGAGCAGGCCAGUUGUUCUGCAGAAAUUCCAACGGCUCUUCCAACGACAGCGUGGCCAUGGAGUGGUUUUUAUCAAAUGAAUGCGCGCCAGCGUGAAACGCUAAGUGCAGUGGGACGUCCGGCUUCAUCUUCCUGAGUUUCGCGGCUCACUCCUCGGUAAAUUGCCAGGAGUCAACAUAUUUCUUUUGUUAGCAAUGAAUGGAAUUUCGCGCGUUUCUACAUGUAUUCUCGGAGACAGAAGAUAAAUAAUAAAAUAAUAAAUAUCCAAUACCUACC